CCUGCCAGUAAUAUAUGCUUGUUUCAAAGAUUAAGCCAUGCAUGUCUAAGAAUAAGCGAACUUAUUCAGUGAAUCUGCGGAUGGCUCAUUAAAACAGUUUGAAUCUAUUCGAUGGAUGUGCGAGAGUACUACAUGGAUACCCGUAGUAAUUCUAGAGCUAAUACAUGCAAGAACGCCCGACCUCACGGAAGGGUUGUAUUUAUUGGAUACCAAAACCAAACCGUACUUUCGGGUGCGGUUGCGUUUGUUGAUUCACAAUAACUGAUCGGACCGCUUCUCAGGAAGCGGUAGGUCGUUCGACAUUCUGCCCUAUCAGCUUUCGAUGGUAAUGUAGUGGAUUACCAUGGCCAUAACGGGUAACGGAGAAUCAGGGUUCGAUUCCGGAGAAGGAGCUUGAGAAUUGGCUACUACAUCUAAGGAAGGCAGCAGGCGCGCAAAUUACCCAAUCCUGACUCAGGGAGGUAGUGACAAAAAAUAACAAUACCGGCUCUUUUUGGGGCUGGUAAUUGGAAUGAGAACGAGUUAAACUUUCUAUCGAGGAUCCAUUGGAGGGCAAGUCUGGUGCCAGCAGCCGCGGUAAUACCAGCUCCAAUAGCGUAUGUUAAAGUUGUUGCAGUUAAAAAGCUCGUAGUUGGACUUGUGUGCGCCGGAUGCGGCGAUCUGCGGCCAAAAGGUCGUUACGAUCAGCCCGUCCUGGCGCCGUAAAAUUUGCAACUGGGUCGCCGCUGGCCUUAAUUGAUCGGUGGCGUCUGCUCGGUUGCUCGUUUACUGUGAGAAAAUUGGAGUGUUCAAGGCAGGCGUGGAUUGCAACUGAACAUGUUAGCAUGGAAUAAUAAGAUAGGGCUCCGGCUCAUAUUUUGUUGGUUUCUAGAGCGUGGGAGUAAUGAUUGAUAGGGACAGUUGGGGGUGCUAGUAUUCAGCGGCCAGAGGUGAAAUUCAUGGAUUCGCUGAAGACUGACUUAUGCGAAAGCAUUCACCAAGGAUGUCCUCUUUAAUCAAGAACGAAAGUUGGGGGAUCGAAGACGAUCAGAUACCGUCGUAGUCUCAACCAUAAACGAUGUCGACUAGGGAUUGGCGGUCGUUUUUCAUAUAAGACUCCGUCAGCACCUUCCGAGAAAUCAAAGUGUUUGGACUCUUGGGGAAGUAUGGUCGCAAGGCUGAAACUUAAAGGAAUUGACGGAAGGGCACCACCAGGAGUGGAGCCUGCGGCUUAAUUUGACCCAACACGGGGAAACUUACCA
rnacentral:rRNA from 1 species